CCUACGGGAGGCAGCAGUAGGGAAUCUUCCACAAUGGACGAAAGUCUGAUGGAGCAACGCCGCGUGAGUGAAGAAGGGUUUCGGCUCGUAAAGCUCUGUUAGUAGUGAAGAAAGAUAGAGGUAGUAACUGACCUUUAUCUGACGGUAAUUUGUUAGAAAGUCACGGCUAACUACGUGCCAGCAGCCGCGGUAAUACGUAGGUGGCAAGCGUUGUCCGGAAUUAUUGGGCGUAAAGCGAGUGCAGGCGGUUCAGUAAGUCUGAUGUGAAAUCCUUCGGGUCAACCGGAGAAUUGCAUAAGAAACUGGCGAACUUGAGUGAGGAAGAGGUGAGUGGAACUCCAUGUGUAGCGGUGGAAUGCGUAGAUAUAUGGAAGAACACCAGUGGCGAAGGCGGCUCUCUGGUC
rnacentral:rRNA from 1 species